UACGUAGGGUGCAAGCGUUAAUCGGAAUUACUGGGCGUAAAGCGUGCGCAGGCGGUUUUGUAAGUCUGUCGUGAAAUCCCCGGGCUCAACCUGGGAAUUGCGAUGGAGACUGCAAGGCUAGAAUCUGGCAGAGGGGGGUAGAAUUCCACGUGUAGCAGUGAAAUGCGUAGAGAUGUGGAGGAACACCGAAUGGCGAAGGCAGCCCCCUGGGUCAAGAUUGACGCUCAUGCACGAAAGCGUGGGGGAGCAAACAGG
rnacentral:rRNA from 1 species